ACUCUCCUCCGCGCCAUCUUCCAUCUGGCGCGCCGUGGUUGUGGUUAUUGUCGUUUUAACUGCGAUAGUGGUUGCUGUGGUUGUGGUUAUAAUUGCGGAUGUCUUCGGUUGUGGUUAUAACGGGGUUAGUUGUGGUUGUGAUUAUAAUGCUGUGGUUCAAACUAUAAUGUGGUUACAGUUGUGGUUCAAACUAUAAUGUGGUUACAGUUGUGGUUGCUUUGCCGCUAUUGUGGUUAAAUUCUGACCCAUGUGCUUGGGUGUAAUGCGUUUAUGGUGUGUAUCCAAGUAGUAUUGAUUAUGGGUUUAAUGAGGUAAUGUGGGUAUGGUAGUGGCUAAUAUGGUAGUUGUGGUUACAUUGGGGAUGUGGUUACAAUGUUGUGGUUACAAUGUGGUUAUGGUGGUUGUAAUGUGGUUAUAUUGUUGUAGCUAUGUGGUGUGCUUAUCAUGUUUUUUGUGGUUAUGUCUGAGAUUCUGGCUGUGUGGUUAUGUGGUGAUUAUAAUGUGUAAAAACUUGUUAUGGUGAUUAUGUGGUUACAGUCUGGUAGUUGUGGCUAUGUGGUUUUAAUUGUGGCUGUUUUGCUUGUUCUAUUGUGGCUUCAUUUGUGGUUGUAAAAUAGUCCAGCUGUCUUGGUAGCAUGUAUACAUGUAUUGAUAUUGUUGAUUUUGAUAUAUUGUUGAUAUUGAUUUGCCAUUCGUGUUGGUAUUGUUAACAUGCCAAAUAGUCAUAUCAUCUUUAUUCAUGUUCACGAUCAGGCGUCUUGCAAUGGAUAGACUUCAUCCUCACCAUAGCAAUGUAGAUGGAAAGUAGGCCAGAAAGUGUAAUUGGUAAACAAUCCAUAUCGCGUUAUAUACCACGCUGAUGCGCAGGCAGUGCUCUUAUAUUUGUAAACAUAUAUGUAGGAUUUCACGAACAAUGUGAUUCAUCUUGAUUUAAAGCUUUCGUGACUGCAGGGAUUCAUAUUCUUGGUUCUUUCGGUAAGAAAAUUUGAAAAAAGUCUUGCUGUGGAUUUCACACCUGAUGAUGAUUGCUUAUGUUGCAGUCGAAACGUGAGAAUUUUUAUUGUUUUAUAUUUCUAUCAUUUUAUUAUUUCCCUUCUACGUGACUUUACCGAAAGAACCAAGAAUAUAAUAUGAUUCGUCGUUUCUUUUGGGUUAGGUCGUGUAAGUAUUUCGAUUUUUAAGUCGAACCCUCCACUACCUGACGGUUAAAUGGAAACAUGAAUAAACAAUGAGACUCAUGAUGCCAAUUUCUUUGGCAAUAUAUAAUAUUUAACUACAUUCAUAAUCGCUUCAAUAGCCCCUUCAUUACUAAAAUCAUUGUACUAACGCCGUCGUGCCAGCUGAACACUUAACUAAAUUCAUAAUUACAUUAAACAAGUAGCUGUUUAGAUUAAAUCAAUUGAUAAUUUAUUAUAACAGUACCGACAAUCUUCAACCUGUAUCACUGAUUUCUGAAUGUUAAUCACCAAAAACAUGUAAUUAGCCAAUUAAUUAUUAACUAGAGUCACAAUAGCAUUAAGUGUCCAUCUUUAUAAUUAACCAAACAGUAAAUAGAUUCACCUUACAUUAAUCUAACAUGCAAUCACAACCAGUCAACCAACAUUCAACUGGUUUGCCUGCGUGCCUGUCCUCAUGUGAUGGCACCUACUUACGAACCUGGAUCGGGAACACUUCUUUUACACAAGAGUUGAGCUUGUGUUAACAUCUGAUCAUGUAAUCUCCAGCGAAACGUAAAAGAAACUAAAAAAUGUGCUUGCUUUUUAUUUAGGUUUUCUGAAAGAAAAAAACAUUGCCCUUUGCUUUUGAGACAUUGAUUUGAUUGGCUCUGUCGGGUGGUGGAGGGUUAUAGUUAAAAUUAACUUUAAACUCAAAAUAAUCUAAUGAAUCAGUGCUUGUACAUGUAUAUCACACAAAGUGUGCCUGCAGACUUUAAAACCUGUGGGCUAAAAUUCUACGGAAUCAAUUGAUUUGCGGUUUGGCAGUUAGUUUGCACAAGCAGCAAUGGGCCCUCUUUGACAUCAGGCAGCGAAUAUUUUUUUUACUUAAUGGCGACUGUUUCGCAGGACCAGUUAAGUCAACAUUGACUCAUUCGCGCGUGCAUGUGGCCCCAACGUGCCCAUCAUCUAUCUCACCAGCUGAUGCCCUGAUUCAACAUCUGUUGAGUUUCCCAGUUUCUGUAGCAGGCAAGGGGGUUUUAGGCUUUAGUGGCAAAUGAGCAACGAUAAUCGUUUUCAUCAAUUCCCUCUUUUUAUCGAUUAUUUUAUUUUGCAAAAUUUUAAAAAUGUUUUAAACACUUUCCAGCUAUGCCUCAAGUUGUUUGCACAUUAGCUAUUUCUGUCAGUAACGGGUGAAGGUGCACUGGUUCCAAAAGAUUAAUAUUAACAAAACUUAAUGGAUAAAGUUUGAAUUUAGGGACUUAUUCUAUUGAAAACCUUCCACAUUGAUCAAAUAUUUUCUUUUUACUUGGAGACCCAAACCAGAGCAAAAAGGACUUGUGAAGUAUAUUAAUGCAUUCAUCUUGACAGCUACCCGUUAACUUUCAUACUACUAAUUCAAUACUUGGGAAGACAAACGUGCAUUGAAAAGCAUUACAUAUUCCAUGCGUGUGCAUGCUUUUUGUUAACAUGUUUAAUAGUUGAUGUUUUCUUCUGUAAUUGCUGUACUCUAUUACCUACCAAGUUACCCUUGUAAAUGACAUAGGUUUGUCCAAAUAGUUUAUCAUGAUCAUAGAUAAAAAAUGUGUACAUAAUUUUAACAACCUAAUAUCUAAAGAUCGCCGUGUUUCCCCUGAUAUAUCUCGGUGAAUUAUUUCCUUGAUUGGCUGACUUACAUCAGACACCAGCUGCAGCUGGCAAUGCUAUAUAUUCCAUAUUGGUGAGCUAACUUAAGUUCUUGGACAAGCUUUCAGCAUGCGGAGCAAAGCGUCAGGCCGAACAACACGCUGUAUCGCACAAAACCACAUCCGAGAGUGAUGCUGCCCAACCGAUAAAACCUACACAUCUAAUUUAAUUAACUGUUAUGAUCAAAAUAAGAAUGUUUUUGGGUUAGAUCGUGUUAUUUAUAAAUGUGUCGCAGCCCUCCACCCAACACGGCCAAUUGGUAAAAAAUAUGUCAUGUUGACAAAAAGUUCACUACUUUAGCUCACCGGUGUGUUGAGUGAAUCCACAACAUUUACAAUUUUUGAGUGGACGCUGGUAAUUACAUCCAGCAUUGGGCAAUUUGCCAGAAUAGUAGUGAACUAUUUGUCUUUUGUCAACGUGACACAUUUUUUACUGAUUGGCCGUGUAGGGUGGUGUAGGGUUGCGACACAUAAGUAAUGCGAUCUAACCCAAAAACCUAUAUUAUGAAUAAUAUUGGUCGCGAAAGCCUACAUGUGAAACUGUUAUGAUCAACUUUUUUUUGAUAAACCAUACGUGGUUGAGUUUUAUUCACCAAACUUGUUUUAGAUAAAAGUAUGCACAGAAAGAUUAAUUGCGUGAGUUUUCUAAAAAGUCGUGUGUAUUUCGGUGAUUCAUUGUAGCAACAUGUGAAUUACGAAUGUUUCUGUUUCAAUCGCAAUGGAAACAGGCAAUGAGUUGGAGUGCUUCAUGAUAGAUUUACUCCACAGUACUUCCAACUGUCCACUUCCGUGUGCCCUCCACCAUUCCCUAAGCGUGCGUCAUCUUCCCUCAUGCCAUCCCUCCCUCCGGCAGCCCUUGGACCGAAUCAUCCCCCAAACCCCCCAGAUCACUUGAAUAUAUAGGAUGCGAUCAUCUCCCAACUCACCCUGGCACACGCUAACCAGCUGAUGGCAGCGUAACGGAGUCCUGUUACGUUUGCAGCGGAAUAUGACAUCACCCUUUUGUGGAUGAUAAUUUCUUUGUCUUAUAAAACAUGUUUCUUUUCUAACAGUUUUUUAUUGCCAAUCUUGUCCAAAAACAACAGAUCUGGGCACUGGGGCAAUUUCUGGUGAGCCGUGUGGGACUUUUCAUCUUCAUUGAGUGGCUCCUGUAAGCCGACGAAACCUUAAAAAAAUUAUUGGCAUGUUUUGCAUUUACUCUGUUAAACUAAACCUUCUGGUAAAGAGGGGGGGGCACGAUGAUCCGUUAAGGUGAUCCAAUGUGAACCAAACUUGAAUAUAGCUUUAUGUUGCUGCUAGGGACUUACCCUUUCUAAAAACGGUCAAAUUUAUCAAAAAGGGUUUCCCAAAACAUGCAGACACAAACCACUGCGAAAAGGUUUCACCUCACCGUUCCGGCCCUGCUGCCUGAGGCGCGCCCACCCCGGCAGAGCUGCUAUCCGAGCCCCGUGUCUCAUCAUGGUCCACGGACGUACUGCUUCCUGCGUGGUUGGUAUGCAAUGGGUGAGCAAGGUAAUGCUGUACAGAUUGCAUCUCAACGCUGGUUCGGAGUAAGGCAUGUGGAGCCUCGGUCUUCUAUAGCCAAGCAGCGAGACGCCCCAAAGCCAUGCGGUUCUGAAGACCCCAAGGCCCUGAUGCAGGAUCGAAUUCAGGCA